rnacentral:rRNA from 1 species
UGGGGAAUAUUGGACAAUGGGCGCAAGCCUGAUCCAGCCAUGCCGCGUGAGUGAUGAAGGCCUUAGGGUUGUAAAGCUCUUUCGCCGGUGAAGAUAAUGACGGUAACCGGAGAAGAAGCCCCGGCUAACUUCGUGCCAGCAGCCGCGGUAAUACGAAGGGGGCUAGCGUUGCUCGGAAUCACUGGGCGUAAAGCGCACGUAGGCGGAUCGUUAAGUCAGGGGUGAAAUCCUGGAGCUCAACUCCAGAACUGCCCUUGAUACUGGCGAUCUCGAGUUCGAGAGAGGUUGGUGGAACUCCGAGUGUAGAGGUGAAAUUCGUAGAUAUUCGGAAGAACACCAGUGGCGAAGGCGGCCAACUGGCUCGAUACUGACGCUGAGGUGCGAAAGCGUGGGGAGCAAAACAGGAUUAGAUACCCUGGUAGUCCACGCCGUAAACGAUGGAUGCUAGCCGUUGGGGGGUUUACCUCUCAGUGGCGCAGCUAACGCCUUAAGCAUCCCGCCUGGGGAGUACGGUCGCAAGAUUAAAAACUCAAAUGAAUUGACGGGGUCAUAGCUG